UACGUAGGCAGCAAGCGUUGUUCGGAGUUACUGGGCGUAAAGGGUGCGUAGGCGGCUUUUUAAGUUUGGUGUGAAAUCUCCCGGCUCAACUGGGAGGGUGCGCCGAAUACUGAGAGGCUAGAGUGUGGGAGAGGAAAGUGGAAUUCCUGGUGUAGCGGUGAAAUGCGUAGAUAUCAGGAGGAACACCGUGGUGUAAACGGCUUUCUGGACCAUAACUGACGCUGAUGCACGAAAGCGUGGGUAGCAAACAGG
rnacentral:rRNA from 1 species